AACGAACGCUGGCGGCGUGGAUAAGACAUGCAAGUCGAGCGGGGAUCAGUGGGUAGCAAUAUUCGCUGAUUCUAGCGGCGAACGGGUGCGUAACACGUGGGCAAUCUACCGUAAAGUUGGGGAUAACUCGCUGAAAGGCGAGCUAAUACCGGAUGUGAUCGCUGAAAGGCAUCUUUUGGCGAUUAAAGUUGGGGACCGCAAGGCCUGACGCUUUACGAUGAGCCCGCGGCCUAUCAGCUAGUUGGCGAGGUAACGGCUCACCAAGGCUAAGACGGGUAGCUGGUCUGAGAGGACGACCAGCCACACUGGAACUGAGACACGGUCCAGACACCUACGGGUGGCUG
rnacentral:rRNA from 1 species